rnacentral:rRNA from 1 species
AUGCUGCUGUGGGGCCUGGGCCAGCCGGCGUCGCACCGCCCCAACGCCUUCGCGCGGCAGGGCUUGCCGGCCUUCCCCAUCGACGCGUGCGGGCGCCGCCUGACGCUCCAGCAGCAGCCGUCCUCCUUCCGGGGGGCUUCCGGUGUCACCGGCGCCGUGGUGUGGGACAGCACCGUCGUGCUCGCCAAGUUCCUCGAGCACGCGGCCGACGGCGGCCUGCUCUCCGUACGCGGGGCGCGCGCCGUGGACCUCGGCGCCGGGUGCGGGCUCGUGGCCGCGCUGCUCGGCGCGCGGGUCGUGCCGACCGAUUUGCCUGACCGCGUCCGGCUGCUCCGCAAGAACCUCGAGGAGAACGUCGGGGGGUCGGCGACGGUGGCGGAGCUGGUGUGGGGCGACGAGUACGAGGUCGACCCGGAGCUGCUGCUCCGGCUGGACCCAGAGCCGCCGGAGCUGGUGCUGGGGUCCGACCCUUGGAGGCGGCCAUGA